UGGGGAAUUUUGGACAAUGGGGGCAACCCUGAUCCAGCAAUGCCGCGUGCAGGACGAAGGCCUUCGGGUUGUAAACUGCUUUUGUACGGGGAGAAAAGUUCUGGGUUAAUACCCUGGGAUGAUGACGGUACCGUAAGAAUAAGCACCGGCUAACUACGUGCCAGCAGCCGCGGUAAUACGUAGGGUGCGAGCGUUAAUCGGAAUUACUGGGCGUAAAGCGUGCGCAGGCGGUUUUGUAAGACAGGGUGUGAAAUCCCCGGGCUUAACCUGGGAACGGCAUUUGUGACUGCAAGGCUAGAGUGCGGCAGAGGGAGAUGGAAUCCCGCGUGUAGCAGUGAAAUGCUUAGAUAUUACACAGAACACCGAUUGCGAAGGCAGCUCUCUAAGCUACAUCUGACGCUGAGGCACGAAAGCGUGGGGAUCAAACA
rnacentral:rRNA from 1 species